rnacentral:rRNA from 1 species
AAUUAAAUAAUAUUUAAAAUAAUAUUAAUGUUUAAAAUAAAGUUUUAGUAAUAAUUAAUUGAGAAAGAAUAUUUUUAUUUAUAGUAAAUUAGUAAAGUUAAUGAAUUUUUAAAAUUUUUAAAUAUAAAAAUUAAAAUAAGUAAAUUUAAUUUAUUGUAUCUUGGGUAUCAGAGUUUAAUAAAAAAAAAUAAUGAUUUUUAUAUAUCUCGAAAAAAAUUAAGAGUUAAAAAUUUAAAUAUUUAUUAAUGUUUUAAAAUUAUAAAUAAUUAAUUUUUUGAAAUGAAAAGUUAUUCGUUUUUUUUUAUAUCUAGUUUUAAAAGAAAUAAAUUUAAUUUAAUUUAUUAUUAUUUAUAAUUUAAUUUAUUUAUCCAUAUCCAUUAAUUUGAUUAUUUUUAAAUUAUAAAAUAAUAUAUAAAUAUAUAAAGGGUUAAGCUUUUAUAUAAAUUUUUAUAUUAAUAAAUUUAUUUAAUAAAAUUAUAGAAUUAAAAUUUUUUUUUAUUUAAUAUAUUAAUUUAUUAUUUAUUUAUAAAUAUAAAUAAUAUUUAUUAAAAAAAAUUAAUGAUUUAUUUUAUUGAUUUUAAAAAUUAUUAUUAAAAGGUAAUAAUGUUAUAAUUAGUAUAAUUAUUUUGAAAAUUUUUAAGUUAAAAAUUUAAAUUUAAAAUUAAUUAAUUAGGCAAAAUUAAAAUUAUUAAAUUUUAAGAUUUAAUUAUUUCACAUGUUUAACAAAAACAUGUCUUUUAGUUUUUAAAUUUAAAGUCUAAUCUGCCCACUGAAAAAUUUUUUAAAGGGCUGCAGAAUUUUAACUGUACGAAGGUAGCAUAAUAAAUUGUUUUUUAAUUGAAAACUAGAAUGAAUGAUUUCAUGAAAAUAAAACUUUAUAUAUUUUAUAUUUAAAAUUUAUUUUUUUUGUAAAAAAACAAAGAUUUUUUAAAAAGACGAGAAGACCCUUUAGAUUUUUAUUUUUUUUAGUUUUUAAUUUUAUUAAUUAGAUAAUAUUUAAAUAUAUUUUUAUUUCAAAAAUUAAUUAAAAUUUAAUUGGGGUGAUUUAUAAAUUUAAUAACUUUAAUUUAUUAAUAUAAAUUAUUUAAUUAAAAAGUAAUAAAAAGAAAUAAUAUUGAUUUAGUUUUAUGGAUUAAAAGAUUAAAUUACCUAAGGGAUAACAGCGUUAUUUAAAUUUUUAGUUCUUAUGGAAAUUUGAGAUUGCGACCUCGAUGUUGGAUUAAGAUUAAUUAAAAAUGCAGAAGUUUUAAAAUUUAGUCUGUUCGACUAUUAAAAUCUUACAUGAUCUGAGUUCAAACCGGUGUGAGCCAGGUUGGUUUCUAUCUUUUAUUUAAAAUUAGAUUUUUUAGUACGAAAGGAUUAAAGAUUUAAAAUAAAAAAUUUUUAUUUAAAAUGAAUUUAAUUA